AUGGGAUCCCUAUCCCGCGAGAUCCUUGCCCAGGUCGCCACGCUCUCCACGCCGGCCGAAGUAUGGACUGCGAUCCAUGCUAUGUUUGCUGCCCAAAGCCAAGCUCAAGCCAUCAACACGCGCAUUGAGCUCACAAAUCUUCAAAAAGGUAACAUGUCUAUGGCGGAAUACCUUGGUAAAAUUAAAAGUCUUACCGAUGAGGUCGCCCGCACUGCCGCCGCGCUCUCCGAUCCGGAGAUCGUGUCCAAAAUCCUCGCCGGCCUCGACAUGGACUACAACCCUGUGGUCUCCGCCCUCACCGCUCGGGUGGAGCCGAUCACCGUCCAGGAGUUGUACAGUCAGCUCCUCAGCUUCGACACCCGCCUCAGCCUUCUCCACGGCGCCAACAUCCGGCAGUCUUCUGCCAACUCCGUCUCUCGUGGCCGCGGCCGUGGGCGCGGUCACCAGGGGCAACGCAAUGGCGGACGCGGGUGCAGCAACGCCGACUACUCCAACAAUGGCAGUGUUGGCUACAUCAACACCGGCGGCGGCGGCAGCAACUACAACAACAAGGGCCGGGGGUGGUGGCUUCCACAACAACAGCCGCCGCCCUCCUCCUUCUUCUUCCCGAGCACGUCCUCGCUGUCAACUCUGCAAAAAGCCGGGUCAUGA
rnacentral:rRNA from 1 species